UGGGGAAUAUUGGACAAUGGGCGCAAGCCUGAUCCAGCCAUGCCGCGUGAGUGAUGAAGGCCCUAGGGUUGUAAAGCUCUUUCACCGGUGAAGAUAAUGACGGUAACCGGAGAAGAAGCCCCGGCUAACUUCGUGCCAGCAGCCGCGGUAAUACGAAGGGGGCUAGCGUUGUUCGGAUUUACUGGGCGUAAAGCGCACGUAGGCGGACUUUUAAGUCAGGGGUGAAACCCCGGGGCUCAACCCCGGAACUGCCUUUGAUACUGGAAGUCUUGAGUAUGGUAGAGGUGAGUGGAAUUCCGAGUGUAGAGGUGAAAUUCGUAGAUAUUCGGAGGAACACCAGUGGCGAAGGCGGCUCACUGGACCAGUACUGACGCUGAGGUGCGAAAGCGGGGGGAGCAAACAGG
rnacentral:rRNA from 1 species